AGCCCAACCCCAAUCAAACACAGCUGAAGGAGCUAAUCAAAGUGUUCAGGGUUGCUUGAUAAUAACAGAAAGUGUUGGAGCUGAGUUGAAACUGAAGUCUGCAGGAUCAUAGCUUACCAGGAACAGGAGUGGAAACGUAUAUGGAGAUAAAAUGAUUGUUUUUAGAGGGUUCGAGCAGUUGCAGAGCAGUAUGGUCAGUAAACUGCAGCACUGGGUUUGCCGCCCCUGCCAAAGGACACCAUCGGUGUGGUGGGAAGUAUGAGAGCGGCAUUUUUACUGCCGUCUGCCUUCAAUCUCAUCAAACAACAGCAGAGACGUGCCAAGAAAGAAAACAAUGGUUUUAAAUGUUUUUGAUUAAGGAAAAAUUAGAAGUGUAAACUUUGGAUAGAAGUGAACAGAACAUGAGUGGUCUCUCUUGGACAUAAAUGAGGACAGAUUACAGGACUUUAGAAGGCCUGAAGCCGUCAUCAUCUUGCAGAAGUGCUUCUUCAUCUGUAGUCUGACUCUUUCACAAUUUCUGCCGUGUGGCCCGUCACACUGAACAUCUUUGGAAUGGAAUUCUCAUGCUGUCCUGCACCAGACUAUUUCGCAAUUACUGCCGUGUUAGUCUAAACACCCUGGACAUGAUAGACUGAGACCAGACAGAAUGGAUGCCUAAAGAAGAAGAAUUUGAUGUUUUACUUGAGAAUUAUACAUGUGAUUUUAAUUAAAACUGUUAAAAUGUGUUAAAAAGAAUAAAACGGGAGUAAAAGUGAUUUGAAUUUAAAAGUGCAUAUAAAAUAUACUUCAAAAUAUCAGUUUGGACGCAGCAUAGUGCUCAUUCGGUAAAUGCAUAGCUAAACAGAUGUGUUUUAAGUCUGGAUUUGAAUGUGACUACUGUUGGAGCAGAUCUGAUCUCUUCUGGAAGCUGGUUCCAGCUGCGACUGGCAUGAUAGCUAAAAGCUGACUCUUCUUGCUUGGAGUGAACCCUUGGUAAUUCUUGCUGAUCUGAUCUUAAUGAUCUGAGUGAUUUGUUGGGAUUAUAUUCAAUGAGCAUAUCUGCAAUGUAUUGAGGUCCUAGUCCAUUGAGUGAUUUAUAUACCAUUAAUAAUACUUUAAAAUCAAUCCUAAAUGUAACUGGUAGCCAGUUUAAAGACCUGAGGACUGGUGUGAUAUGUCCUGGCAGCAGCGUUCUGGAUGAGCUGCAGCUGUCUAAUGGUCUUUUUGGGAAGGCCAGUAAGGAGGCCAUUACAAUAAUCCACCCUGCUGGUGAUGAAAGCAUGCACAAGUUUCUCUAAGUCUUGUCUGGAAACAAAGCAUCUAAUUCUUGCGAUAUUUUUGAGAUGAUAGUAUGCUGAUUUAGUUAUUGCUUUGACAUGACUACUGAAACUAAGGUCAGACUCCAGAAUCACACCAAGAUUCCUGACUUGAUUUUUAGUUGUUUGACCCCUAGUGUCAAGGUGUACAUUCACCUUGAGAACUUCAUCUUUGUUUCAAAACUCAAUGACUUCAGUUUUCUCUUUGUUUAACUGCAGAAAGUUUUGGCACAUCCAACUGUUAACUUCAUCAAUGCAUUUGCACAGGGAGUCAAUGGGGCUGUAGUCGUUAAGUAGAUCUGAGUGUCGUCUGCAUAACUUUGAUAGCCAAUUUGGUUAUCUCUCGUUAUUUGGCUCAGUGGGAGCAUAUACAGUGUUAACAGGAGUGGCACAAGAAUUGAGCCUUGCGGGACUCCGCAUGUCAUGGAUCUUCACUCAGAUUUAUGGCCACCUAUACUCACAUAAUAACCUGAACCAUGGACAAGUAUGACCUGAACCAUUUUAGGACCAUUCCAGAAAGCCCGACCCAGUUUUCCAGCCUGUCAAGAAGUAUGUUGUGAUCGACAAUGUCAAAAGCAGCACUGAGGUUGAGUAGCAACAGCACUGAUAGUUUGCCUGUGUCUGUAUUGAGGCGAAUAUCAUUUAUUAUCUAUAUGAGCACUGUCUCUGUACUAUGGUGUGGUCGGAAACCAGAUUGAAAAUUGUCAAAGAACUUAAGAAUUUGUUCAGCUGAUUGAAAACAACAUUUUCAAUGAUCUUGCCUAUGAAGGAAGAUUUGAGAUUGGUCUGUAGUUGCUCAAUACAGUGUUAUCUAGGUUGCUCUUUUUCAGGAGGGGCUUAACAACUGCAGUUUUAAGGGACUUUGGAAAAGUCCCAGAGUUAAAUGAUGAAUUUACCACUUCUAGGAGAUCUGCUUCUAAACAGUUAAAGACACUUUUGAAAAAAUAUGUUGGGAGUGUGUCAAGGGGCGCAGAUUGAUGUUUUAAGAUGCUGUACUGUUUCUUUCAAAGUUUUACCAUCAACUGCUUUGAUAUCAGACAUCGUAACUACUUUCAGAUGUUGUGGUCUGAUUUAUCUGACCCGGCGCAGCUCAAGGAUGUGCUGAUCACGUUUCUGAUAUUAUUGCUUUUCUCAGAGAAGAAGUAAUCAAAUUCACUGCAUUUGCUGUCUGAGAGCAUUUCACUUGGAAUGUGACUUGGGGGGGGGGGUGUUAGUCUCUCUAUAGUAGCAAAAAGAGUGUGAGUGUUAUUUAUGUUGUUGUUUAUAAUAUUUGAAAAGAAAGUCUGUCUAGCUUUGCCUAGUUCCACACUGAAAGCACGAAGGCUGUCUUUAUAGAUAUUAUAAUGUACUACAAGUUUUGUCUUCCACCACUUGCACUCAGAGUUUGUCCAAAGUGAUUUUUGCCUGCCAUUCUUCUUCCUUACUUUUACAGAAGCAAUAUCAUCGAUUGCACUCUUAACUUUCGAGUCAGUUUACUCAGAGUUGCCUAAACGAAAUCUGACCUGAACCUAAAAACUCAAGAGUUUCACAUCUCAGGGAAAACCAACUUCAAAGUUCAAAUUUUAACGGAGUUGCUUGAACCUCCUUAUUGAAAUGGGCCCUGGGUGAAGACUUUAGAAAUGUUUUGGUUUUUAUUGAUUGUAAGUAUUUAAAAUUUUUCUGAUAACAAUUUUAAUCUGGAAAAUUUUGUUGUCUGUAUUUUGCAUUGGUCACCCCUCUGAAAUGACCAUUCUUUAAAAUCAUUUAGCCCAGAUCAGUCCGGGUUGAGUUUGGACCGAAAGGCUUUGGCUUGAUGUGUUUUGUAAUACUUUGCAUAAAGAGACCAUGACAAGCUUAUUUUUAAAGACUGCUUAAAGCUCAUAUUUAAAUAAUCUUUUAAUGUUUGUAUUUGAGUUUUCAGUAUUAUUUAAUGCAAAGACGUGUAUUUAUAUUAUUGUGUUUAUGUAAAAAUCUCUGUGUUGCCAUGAAUUUAUUAAAAUGAAUAGGAAUGUUUUAUUUAUAGAUUGUAUUUGGUUUUUCAGGUAGUGCAGAUUGAUGUGAAAGGGAUUUUCUCUUUCUGCAACUUUGUAUCAUUGUGUCUUUCAC